UACGGAGGAUCCAAGCGUUAUCCGGAUUCAUUGGGUUAAAGGGUGCGUAGGCGGACUGAUAAGUCAGCGGUGAAAUCUCUCGGCUUAACCGAGAAACUGCCGUUGAUACUGUCAGUCUUGAGUACAGAUGAUGUGGGCGGAAUAUGACAUGUAGUGGUGAAAUACUUAGAUAUGUCAUAGAACACCGAUUGCGAAGGCAGCUCACAAAACUGUCACUGACGCUGAGGCACGAAAGCGUGGGGAUCAAACAGG
rnacentral:rRNA from 1 species